CAGCAGUAGAUUGUAACAACUUGUUGUCAACAGUUACGAAGGCUGAAGUUGUCGUCAAUUUGAUUGCAACUAAUCUAAAAACGAAUAUCAAAAUUUUACUAACAAAUUAUCGUCAACUAUUUGCACGAUCAAGUUUUUGCAGCCAACUUGACAUCUUAUUUCUGUUGCAGAUUUCCUCCCCCUUGCGAUCAAAAUUGCUAUUAGGGGUCGCGCUUAAAUUAUCGAUAAAUUAUCUAGUGUGAUGAUAAGACUAAACAUUUCAAUGAUCUGCUGAACCGACAAAAGUUACCUCUAAAUUUAAAGAGCAAAUUUACGUCUACCUCAUAAUUUUUUGCAGUAAAUUUGCUGUCUCCAAAUGUAAAUUAAAAUUACGUUGAAACUCCAAUUGCUGUCAGGAAUUAAUAUUUUUAAAAAAAAUUUCAUUAUCGAUAUUUAUCAUUUUUUUUUUCGUCCCAAUGAUAUUUUUUUUUUAUAAAUAAUGAAAUGACUUAAUUGUUAUUUUAAAAAUUUUUGUGACCAAUUUGUCAGACACGUGAUGUAAAAAUACAGCAAGUGGCGAAAGGUAUAAUUUUAAUCAACAAUAAGAAAUUUAAAACUCCCAAGAGUGUAAUCUGGUGGCUGACAAUGAUGAUAGGGUUGUUUUAUGUUUGUUUUUUAGGGAAGGUGUCAAUGCAUUGUCAUGUCUAAGACGCGUGCCGACACGUGACUUUCCCGCAGAUCAAUUUGUCACUGCUCUUAUUUACUUCAAAUAUUACAGUCUACUACUGCAUAUACUUAUUUUAAAUAUAAAUAUCCUCAGAUGAAUUAAAAACUGUCGAAAAUAUAAAGACGGUUAAGAAUAAAGAGGACUCAGUAAAAAAUGAAACUGCAAAGAUGGGAGGAGUCGAGACAGUAUGGAUUUUCUCCGAGGAUCAGGUGCAAGAGACACAUCUGCAAAACUCGUGCUCUGUUUCUGUGUACCCAGACAUACUCAAACACACUUUCUAUCGAUUUGUUUAAAAUUUUUUAAAAUACUUAAAUACUUAUUAACUUUUUUACCCUCAAAAUAAACAAAUUUCUAAGCCCGACAGAGUUGACCAGUAGCAGAAAUUAGCAAGCGACCAGAAAUUUUUGAAUAUUUUUUUUCCCUCUUUAUUUCAAUUAUCAGGCGGAGAAUCGAUUGGAAAAAUUUGAUUGAUUGGAAUGAUUUUUUUUUAUAAAAAUUAAAGUCUAAAUGGCGGCAUAGGCAAAAAUAGUAGGCGUGUUGUCGGUAAUCACGCGGGUUGAAUCUCAAUUGGUGGUCUCGACAAAUACUUGAAUUCGAGGGUGUGGCUUGUUUUGAGGGUGGAAUUUACCCUUAACAACCGCGCACUGCGUUGUCCCAUGGACCAGAUCUAAAUCUUAUCAGAUAUCUUAUGCCCGUUGUCUUGUCUACUUGACAAGUAAUUUACACAAAGUCUUAGUGUAAUUUAAUCCUAUUUUACAAAUUUGUGGAUUCAUUUAUUUUUGAAAUUAAUACAUAUAUUUUUUAAUUGCAAUUAUUUUUUUCCGUGACCAAGUGCUAGUUUAAUUAAAUUAUUUAUUAAAGUAAAUAAUAUAAAUAUCUCGGGGUAGUUUAUUAUUAAAAGUAUCGUUGGAAACAGUGGGAUAAAAAGUGUCGUAAAUAAAAAAUAUCGUCACCGGUGGAACUAUUAAAUGGAAUAUUAUAAUUAAAAUUAAUGAAUAAUAAUAAUAUUUAUAAUAAUUAUAAUAAUAAAAUGGAGCGUGAAGCAUUGCAUCCAAUAACGACGUGUUGCAAUUUGAGUGUUCAGUCUCGUACCCGCAGAGAAAGAGAAAAUUCAAUGAACGUAAGUCAUAGUGGAUCUAAUGGAAUUAAUUCAACGGGAUCACUGGGUACACUUUCACGAGAGGAACGCCGACGGCGAAGACGAGCCACUCAAAAAUAUCGAACCGCCCACGCA